GUGCUGUUGUAGCAGCAUUAGUAAUAGCAAUAAUAGUAGUAAGUUACUGUCUCAUCUGUGGGAAGAUUGGCACAGAAACAUUGUAAGCAGUAAAACGCAGGCCAAUGCAAAUAUGAGUCACACAAAAGGAGCACCUUCAGCGUGGGCCUGUGCCGAGCAGACAGUCCAUUAAGAUUGUUCCAUAAAUUGAUCACACCAGGGAUAAAUUACAUAGUGAAACAUCAUAGAAAUUCUUAGAGGGAUAAACAGAUUGGCUCGCUAUUAAAACAGUGUCUGUGUUAAAUCAAAACAAUAUAAAGUGGAUGAUCUGUGUUCUUCGGGAUACUAAAACAUCCUCUCCUAAUAAACCUACUUAACUUAUUGAUGAAACACAAAUGAUCUAAGAUCACGACAUGCGGUUCAGCAUGCACAAACAAUUUGUAGGUAAACUGACUCUUCAGCCAAGAAGUUAAGAGGUGGGGGGAGAAAAUAAUUCACCCAAGAGACAAAGAAGGGAGAGAGAGAAUUAAAAACAGAAACUUAAGCUCUCUGGGCCCUUUUCUUCCCUCCAGGCAUUUUGUGGCUUGUGAAAAAAUGUGCUGUAUAUUUGAAGCGUCGGGGUCACGUGACAAAGGAAGGCUUUAUGAAUCAGAGUAUAAUUAUUUCUAAGUGAGUGAGAGAGUGUGUGCCUGUAUUUGGAGAGUGAAAGACUGAUUUUUAAAAGGUAGAGACUGGAAAAGGAGGAGGAGGGUGGCAGAGACAGGGAGGGAGAGAGAGAGACUCACUGCUGCUCUGUCUUUGCUGUUAGAAGGACUCUGUUGAAUGUGCACACAUCUUUCCUCCUUUUCAUUGGCUCGCUCCGGUCAUCGGACCCUUUUGUCGAGUGCUUUAUCUCCCCGUCUGCAUCAUCAGCUCGACAUCUCAAAAGAGACAGCAGGACUCUUCUAAAGUGGAGUCCACCUAUCCUUCAGUACCUCCGAGGCCCCCUGUCGCCCAUACGUUCUCCACGUCUUAAGACUCUUCGACGGACACACAUCUCAGCCUUGUGGAGGAUUCCAGGUGUCGAAAGAGCCGUUACCUUCAGCUAGCCGCCUGCUGUGGACCCUGGGUGAUCCGUCGCCAUGGCUACAAACAGGGAACAGCAGGUGGGUCACAUGACCGGCUUCCCACCUGCUGUGUACCCCUUUCCCUUCAACUCCAUGAGAAGCCACUCCCCCUUCGACCUGCUGGCCAACAGCAGCCUGUUUGGGAGAUUUGGGGCUGACCUGCCCAAAGAGAUGGCUGCUCUCUCGGUGGAGACCCAGAGCAACAGCUCAGAGGAGAUGGUACCCAGUUCUCCGUCUCCACCUCCCCCACCUCGAGUCUACAAGCCCUGCUUUGUGUGCCAGGACAAGUCCUCCGGGUACCACUACGGGGUCAGCUCAUGUGAAGGCUGCAAGGGUUUCUUCCGUCGCAGUAUCCAGAAGAACAUGGUGUACACUUGCCACCGAGACAAAAACUGUCAGAUCAACAAGGUCACACGCAACCGUUGUCAGUACUGCAGGCUGCAGAAGUGCUUCGAGGUCGGCAUGUCCAAGGAAGCGGUGCGCAAUGACAGAAACAAGAAGAAGAAAGAUGUGAAGGAGGAGGUUGUUCUUCCGGAGAGCUAUGAGCUAAGUGGAGAGCUAGAGGAACUAGUCAAUAAAGUCAGCAAAGCUCACCAAGAAACUUUCCCAUCACUUUGCCAACUGGGCAAAUACACCACCAACUCCAGCUCGGACCAUCGAGUCCAGCUCGAUCUAGGGCUAUGGGACAAGUUUAGUGAGCUUUCCACCAAAUGCAUCAUCAAGAUAGUAGAAUUUGCCAAGCGGCUGCCGGGUUUCACCAGCCUCACCAUCGCUGACCAAAUCACUCUGCUUAAGUCCGCCUGCCUGGACAUACUGAUGCUGAGAAUCUGCACACGCUACACUCCAGAACAGGACACUAUGACGUUCUCAGAUGGCCUGACUCUGAACCGGACUCAGAUGCACAAUGCGGGCUUUGGACCGCUUACAGACCUGGUUUUUGCCUUUGCAGGCCAACUUCUACCCCUGGAGAUGGAUGAUACAGAAACCGGUCUCCUCAGCGCCAUCUGCCUCAUCUGUGGAGACCGCAUGGAUUUAGAAGAGCCCCAGAAAGUGGAUAAGCUACAGGAGCCUCUGCUUGAGGCUUUGAAGAUCUAUGCCCGUCGUCGCCGCCCCAACAAACCCCACAUGUUCCCACGCAUGCUGAUGAAGAUCACUGACCUCAGGGGCAUCAGUACGAAGGGUGCAGAGAGAGCUAUCACUCUGAAGAUGGAGAUCCCAGGGCCGAUGCCUCCUUUGAUCAGGGAAAUGCUCGAGAAUCCGGAGGCCUUCGACGACCAAACAGAGAGUAAUGAGAGCCCGCCGCCUCCACCACCGCCCCCACCACCGCCCGCGCCUCCAGCCCUGGUUCUAAAGCAGGAGGCUGAGGAUGAGGACGACAGCUGGGCCACCGAAAACGGCAGCGAGCCAUCACCGGAAGAGGAGGACGAAGACGACGACGACGAUGUGGGAGAUGAAGAUCGAGACAGGGGCUCGGACAGUGACGGGGAGCCCUGGGUGUUUUAACUUCCAUAGAUGGGUUGAGGAAAGGCCUUGCUCGGAGGGCGCAGUGAAAAGAGCAUUUCAUACAUAGACACACACACACACACACACACACACAUACAAGCAUAUAAGUAAACAUACACAUAUAUAGCACAACCUCAUUCACUCUUCCACCUCAAGAAAAUGCUGGCCUUCCCUUCUCCCUCUCUCUCUCCUGACUGCACAUCACUGUGUCCUCCUCCACUGAGCACAGCAGAGCCUUAAGCGUAUAAACAUUUCUAACUCAGGCCACACGGUCCAUGACAAGUGAAAUGCAGAAAAAAUGAGAGGUCAAGGGAGAGAUGACGGUAAACCAGAUGAACUCCUGGCACGGCCAAGAGAGAAGUUAACGUGACAAAAAGAACAUAACCUCUUUGAGAAAGCUAAAUGUUUGUUGUUUUCUCCCCCCUACCCCCCCUUACUAUUGUUGUUUAUAUCUAAACAGGGGAGCCUCCAAACUAGACACCAGAACUAAGCAGUUGACUUUGAUUGAUUACAACAAGCACAUUUAGAGCAAGAGUACAGGGCAAAGCCAAAUUGAGUAUGCAACUCUUUUGUUGUUAUUUUUAAAUAUUGUUUUCAUUCUUUUUUUCCUUUUUUCAGUUUAUGAAUAAGUCCUUACAUAUCUAUAUACCAUUAUAUUUUGUUUUUUAUUUGUUAUUCUGGUUUUAUAUAUGAAUCCUUUAGACAAGUUUUUAUCUUUGAAGAGCUUUCCUGAGAAGAUAUUCAGAGGGAAAGAAGGGUAAUCAGAACUGGCUGGGUCUUCCUUAUCAGCUACAUAUGCUUAGCUCGGGCUUCUUGGAGCACUUUGGCUCCCUGUGGAUGAUAAUCAACCCAGGACUUUCUUUUUUGUUGCAGUGACUUAACCAGUUUCUGUUAUCAGGUAAUUGGCAUUAUUCUUUUAUGCUGUUGUUGCGGCCAGCAUGUGCUGUCAGUGCAGGAAGUAUCUUUGUGCCAAAGUUAGGAACAGUCAUCUGUGGAGCAUGAGUUUAACUACUGGCAGGGACUCCAGAUACAAUCCAGCGGUCCUCAUGGCAGAAUGCUCAGUCACAUGUGCACUAAAAACACACUCUAAUUAUCUUGGACAGUGUAUCCACAAAAGCGCAGAACAAACAUACACACUCCUUUCGCUCUAUGCUGAGUGGUAGCAGAUGUGCCAACCUGGCACAAAGUGCCGGGAUCGGAGAUUCAGACUUGACCUUAUAUAUGUAGCACUUUUGUGAUCAUCUGUUUAAGCAAGGCACAUCUCUUCCAUUAAGUAUAGAGCAGCUGUCUGUGAGCAUAUGUCCCAGUUAGCAUGUCAAAACUGAUGGUAACAUCAACAUAUUAAAUACGACGGAUCUUAGAGCUCUCCCUGAUGACAUCAGUAGAUUAGCACACUCAUUCAACACAGAUAAAAACACCCAAACAUACUAGUAUCAUAUGCAUCAACACAACCAUUAAAGGCAUAUGCAAAGCAGGAAUCUUUAUGGAAGACAUUUUGGAAUCAGACUCAGGGCUUUUCAGUAAGGACCAAACCCUAGCUGCCUCCCAGCAUGCUAGAAACAGGCAAUAUUUAUGCGUGCAUUCUUGACUAUGCGAUUCUCAGCCCCACUUUGUGUAAAUAGAAGAUGACAAGUCUGAAAAACAGCAUGGAUACCAGUCUGACUCUCCACAGAGCGAGGAGGGACCACCAUCAUCGUCAUCCUCAUCACAAUCACCGUCCCACCUGCGCUCACACUGGUAUCCAUGCAGGAAACUGCCCCCUCAUCCCAAAAAGCCAUUAUAUCAUCUUGUCUUCUUGUGUAUAUUCUCACUUUUUUUUGAAGAAGAAGAACAGUGGAGGAUUAUGUGUUCUCAUGUAUCAUUUCUUUAUUGCCAAAAUGUCACAGUGGGCGAUCAGCUUGGAAAGCACGGCUGAUAUACAGUACAGAGGUUUUUCUCUCCCUCUUUGAAGCAAUACGAACAUAGUUUCUGUAGCAGCGAGAGGUCCCAUCCUCUAAAUAUGGGCAGGUCUCCUCAUUGUGUGUGUGUGUGCGUGCGUGUGCACGUGAGUGUGAAUGCUUUAGAAAGUUUUCAGUCAUGGGUGGAUGUCCUUGGCAUGGUGCUGUCACACAGAAACUCUUGUGUGACCUCAUCCUUUCUCUCUCUGCUACGCCGUCACGGUGAUAGUGACGGUAAUGCAGGCAAAACUUUGAGAUUAUGUUAUGUGUUAUGUUAUUGUUUUUUUUUUCCAACAUGGCCAAGGUGUUGUUCUUCCUCUGUUUAUGUCAACUCUUGUCAUACAAAGAAAAGCCAUAUAAACAGUGAGAGGCACAAUAAACUACUUUUGAGAGA